AUGGCAACCGUGGAGGUAUUGGCGACGGAGGUUGUUGUCCCGGCGGAGGCAACUCCGGGGGGCACGGUCUGGCUGUCCAACCUGGACCUUGCCGCGCGCCGGGGUUACACUACCACGGUCUACUUCUACCGGGCGAACGGCGAUCCGCCAGGUUUCUUCGCGGUUGAAGCCGUCAAGGACAGCCUCGCCAGGGCUCUGGUGGCAUUCUACCCGCUGGCGGGCCGCCUCGGGCUCGACGGUGCCGGGCGUGUCCAGAUCGACUGCACUGGCGAGGGCGCGGUUUUCCUCACGGCGUCCUCCGGUCACUACACUCUUGACGACCUGAUGAAAGAAUUCGUGCCAUGUGGCGAGAUGCGUGACCUGUUCGUGCCACCAACGCCGUCGUCGAACCCGGCGUGCCCCCUGCUAUUGGCGCAGAUCACGCGUCUGCGCUGCGGCGGCGUCGUCCUCGGCCUGGCACUGCACCACUCGGCCACAGACGCGAGGAGCGCGGCGCUCUUCGUCGAGACGUGGGCGAGCAUUUCCCGUCGCUCCACCAUGGACGUGCUCGUGCCGCCUUGCUUCGACCACAAACUGCUCGCCGCGCGGCACUCACGCACGGUGCUGUACGACCAUCCGGAGUACAAACCCGAGCCAGCGGCUAAGCACACGUCCACCGUGUCGACGUACGCCAGCGCCAUCAUCACUGUGACCAAGCAGCAGGUGAGCGUGCUCAGGGCGCGGUGCGCAGGGGCCUCCACCUUCCGUGUCCUGGUGGCGCUGGUAUGGCAGACCGCGUGCCGUGCGCGGGCACUUCCGCUGGACGCAGAGACGCGGCUCUACUCAAUGAUCGACAUGCGGGCACGCUUGGUGCCGCCGCUCCCGCAGGGGUACUUCGGCAACGCGGUGGUCCGCACGUCGACGGCGGCCACCGUUGGGGAAGUGGUGUCCAAUACGGUCGGCCACGGCGCCUGGCUGGCACGAGGCGCGACGAACCAGGGUGGCGACUAUGCACGCUCGCUGGUGGACUACCUUGAAGGGGUGGAGGACUUGAUGAACCUGCCUCGGAGCGGCAUCUCGCGCGCGCACCUCCGUGCCAUAAGCUGGAUGGGCAUGUCGCUGAACGACGCCGACUUCGGGCACGGUGCGCCGGCGUUCAUGGGUCCUGCGCUUAUGUACUACAGUGGCUUUGUGUACGUGAUGAAUGCGCCGGGAAAGGACGGCGCCCUCACGCUUGCGCUGUCACUCGAGCCAGAGAGCAUGCCGGAGUUCAGCAGGUUGUUUGCGCAGGAGCUCGCCCGUCUCGACGCAUGUGUAGCAAGUUCAUAG
rnacentral:rRNA from 1 species